UCUCCGUUGGUGAACCAGCGGAGGGAUCAUUACAGAGUUGCAAAACUCCCAACCCUUGCUAAACAACCACUGUUUCUUCGGCGGGUGGCCUCCUGGCCGCGCGCACCCUCCUCGUGGGGGAACGCACCCCGCCGGAGCCCACUAAACUCUUGUCAAUACUGAUGCUCUGAGUAUAAAACAAAAUUAUUACAACUUUCAACAAUGGAUCUCUUGGCUCUGGCAUCGAUGAAGAACGCAGC
rnacentral:misc_RNA from 1 species